CUUUUUGUUCUUUCUUUCUUUUUUUUCUUUUUUUUUUUUCCUUCUCUUCCUUCGUGAAACUACGGACUCUUGCUCUCUAUUUUCCCCUAGAAUAGAGGAGGCAUCUUGCUGGCAUUGGUUGUGGCCGACUAUGUGAAUCAUGACGCUGUAGUUGGAGGUUUAACCAGCGGUUGGUGGUAAUGAUCGGCACUCAAAAAAUUUCAAAAUUAUCAUAAAAAAAUAGGAUGAAAAAUUUUAGAGGCUUAGUUUUUCGAGUAAAAUCUGACGAUAGUCGGCCGGAAUCAAAGCUUUAAGCACUAAGAAGGA
rnacentral:lncRNA from 1 species